rnacentral:rRNA from 1 species
GAUGAACGCUGGCGGCGUGCCUAAUACAUGCAAGUCGAGCGAACGGACGAGAAGCUUGCUUCUCUGAUGUUAGCGGCGGACGGGUGAGUAACACGUGGAUAACCUACCUAUAAGACUGGGAUAACUUCGGGAAACCGUAGCUAAUACCGGAUAAUAUUUUGAACCGCAUGGUUCAAAAGUGAAAGACGGUCUUGCUGUCACUUAUAGAUGGAUCCGCGCUGCAUUAGCUAGUUGGUAAGGUAACGGCUUACCAAGGCAACGAUGCAUAGCCGACCUGAGAGGGUGAUCGGCCACACUGGAACUGAGACACGGUCCAGACUCCUACGGGAGGCAGCAGUAGGGAAUCUUCCGCAAUGGGCGAAAGCCUGACGGAGCAACGCCGCGUUAGUGAUGAAGGUCUUCGGAUCGUAAAACUCUGUUAUUAGGGAAGAACAUAUGUGUAAGUAACUGUGCACAUCUUGACGGUACCUAAUCAGAAAGCCACGGCUAACUACGGG